CAACUUCAACAAACCUCUAAGGCUGACUACUGUUUUUUUUUUUUUUUGGGCAGAAGCAGCUGAAAUUCCAUAUUGCAGAAGCUGUUUAUUUUUUGGCACAAGCAUAUUCAGGUAUGGGACAGUUUAUGGGAUGCCUAAUCGAGCCUGUCGUCAGUUUCCGUCGUUCCUUCAAGGUGUAGGUGCUACUUUUGAAGGGGCAGUGGAUCCUAAGGAGUACCAAGAAAUGAAGCAGAAAGUUACUCAACUAACAAGUACACUUAGUGCCACGGAGGCAAGGAUGUUGCAUAUGCAGGCCCAACUAGACAGCUUACUCAAUUCGGGCCCCUCUCAUAUUCCCCCGUGUCCCGGGAUGUUCGCAGGUCACAGCCCAAUAGACGACGUAGGUCACAAGCCAAUGUAGUUCAUGCUCUUGUUGAUGAGGAUAGUGAGGAGGAAUCAGAUCAUGUCUCUAACACCCAACGUUGAUUUUUUUGAUUCGUCUACUUUUGGAUUGUAAUAUUGCUAUGUUUUCUUGGAUAUGUAUAUGAUAUUUGAUUAUAGUUUUAAUUCGAAUUAGAUGUACUUUUGAAGGUGAAUUUGAUUGUAGAAAGUAGUUUAUGGUUGUUUAACUUUACGAUGUUUAAGUGUUUGAAUGUAGAAA